rnacentral:rRNA from 1 species
UAUUGAAUAUAAUUUUAAGUCUAACCUGCCCAUUGAUAAAUUAAAAGGCCGCGGUAAUUUGACCGUGCAAAGGUAGCAUAAUCAUUAGUUUUUUAAUUGAAAGCUGGAAUGAAAGGUUGAAUGGAAAAUUAACUGUCUCUAUUUAAAAAUUUGAAUUUUAAUAUUAAGUGAAAAAGCUUAAAUUUUAUUUAAAGACGAGAAGACCCUAUAGAGUUUAAUAAAAUUUUAAAUUUAAAUUUAUUUGGAAUUUAUUAUUAUAAAUUUAAUUUUUAUUUAAUUGGGGUGAUUAAAAAAUUUAAUAAACUUUUUUUUGUUAAAUACAUUUAUAAAUGAUUAAAUGAUCCAAAUUUUUUGAUUAAAAGAUUAAAUUACCUUAGGGAUAACAGCGUAAUUUUUUUAGAAAGUUCUUAUUAAUAAAAAAGAUUGCGA